AUUGAACGCUGGCGGCAUGCUUUACACGUGCAAGUCGAACGGUAACAGGCCUUCGGGUGCUGACGAGUGGCGAACGGGUGAGUAAUGCAUCGGAACGUACCCAGAGGUGGGGGAUAACGCAGCGAAAGCUGUGCUAAUACCACAUGUGAUCUGAGGAUGAAAGCGGGGGACCGAGCAGCAAUGUUUGGCCUCGCGCCUUUGGAGCGGCCGAUGUCGGAUUAGCUAGUUGGUGGGGUAAAGGCCUACCAAGGCGACGAUCCGUAGCUGGUCUGAGAGGACGACCGGCCACACUGGGACUGAGACACGGCCCAGACUCCUACGGGAGGCAGCAGUGGGGAAUGUUGGGCAAUGGGCGCAAGCCUGAUCCAGCAAUGCCGCGUGCGGGAAGAAGGCCUUCGGGUUGUAAACCGCUUUUGGCAGGAACGAAACGGUGUCCGCUAAUACCGGGCGCUAAUGACGGUACCUGCAGAAUAAGCACCGGCUAACUACGUG
rnacentral:rRNA from 1 species